AGAGUUUGAUCCUGGCUCAGAUUGACCUCUGGCGGCAGGCCUAACACAUGCAAGUCGAACGGUAACAGGAAGAAGCUUGCUUCUUUGCUGACGAGUGGCGGACGGGUGAGUAAUGUCUGGGAAACUGCCUGAUGGAGGGGGAUAACUACUGGAAACGGUAGCUAAUACCGCAUAACGUCGCAAGACCAAAGAGGGGGACCUUCGGGCCUCUUGCCAUCGGAUGUGCCCAGAUGGGAUUAGCUUGUUGGUGGGGUAACGGCUCACCAAGGCGACGAUCCCUAGCUGGUCUGAGAGGAUGACCAGCCACACUGGAACUGAGACACGGUCCAGACUCCUACGGGAGGCAGCAGUGGGGAAUAUUGCACAAUGGGCGCAAGCCUGAUGCAGCCAUGCCGCGUGUAUGAAGAAGGCCUUCGGGUUGUAAAGUACUUUCAGCGGGGAGGAAGGGAGUAAAGUUAAUACCUUUGCUCAUUGACGUUACCCGCAGAAGAAGCACCGGCUAACUCCGUGCCAGCAGCCGCGGUAAUACGGAGGGUGCAAGCGUUAAUCGGAAUUACUGGGCGUAAAGCGCACGCAGGCGGUUUGUUAAGUCAGAUGUGAAAUCCCCGGGCUCAACCUGGGAACUGCAUCUGAUACUGGCAAGCUUGAGUCUCGUAGAGGGGGGUAGAAUUCCAGGUGUAGCGGUGAAAUGCGUAGAGAUCUGGAGGAAUACCGGUGGCGAAGGCGGCCCCCUGGACGAAGACUGACGCUCAGGUGCGAAAGCGUGGGGAGCAAACAGAAGUAGAUACCCUGGUAGUCCACGCCGUAAACGAUUUGAACUUGGAGGUUGUGCCCUUGAGGCGUGGCUUCCGGGAGCUAACGCGUUAAGUCGACCGCAUGGGGAGUACGGCCGCAAGGUUAAAACUCAAAAUGAAUUGACGGGGGCCCGCACAAGCGGUGGAGCAUGUGGUUUAAUUCGAUGCAACGCGAAGAACCUUACCUGGUCUUGACAUCCACAGAACUUUCCAGAGAUGGAUUGGUGCCUUCGGGAACUGUGAGACAGGUGCUGCAUGGCUGUCGUCAGCUCGUGUUGUGAAAUGUUGGGCUAAGUCCCGCAACGAGCGCAACCCUUAUCCUUUGUUGCCAGCGGUCCGGCCGGGAACUCAAAGGAGACUGCCAGUGAUAAACUGGAGGAAGGUGGGGAUGACGUCAAGUCAUCAUGGCCCUUACGACCAGGGCUACACACGUGCUACAAUGGCGUAUACAAAGAGAAGCGACCUCGCGAGAGCAAGCGGACCUCAUAAAGUGCGUCGUAGUCCGGAUUGGAGUCUGCAACUCGACUCCAUGAAGUCGGAAUCGCUAGUAAUCGUGGAUCAGAAUGCCACGGUGAAUACGUUCCCGGGCCUUGCACACACCGCCCGUCA
rnacentral:rRNA from 1 species